rnacentral:rRNA from 1 species
UACGUAGGUGGCAAGCGUUGUCCGGAAUUAUUGGGCGUAAAGAGCUCGUAGGCGGUUUGUCGCGUCGACUGUGAAAACCUACAGCUUAACUGUGGGCUUGCAGUCGAUACGGGCAGACUUGAGUUCGGUAGGGGAGACUGGAAUUCCUGGUGUAGCGGUGAAAUGCGCAGAUAUCAGGAGGAACACCGGUGGCGAAGGCGGGUCUCUGGGCCGAUACUGACGCUGAGGAGCGAAAGCGUGGGGAGCGAACAGG